GGCCCUACGGGACGCAGCAGUGGGGAAUAUUGCACAAUGGGGGAAACCCUGAUGCAGCGACGCCGCGUGAGUGAAGAAGUAUCUCGGUACAUAAAGCUCUAUCAGCAGGGAAGAAAAUGACGGUACCUGACUAAGAAGCCCCGGCUAACUACGUGCCAGCAGCCGCGGUAAUACGUAGGGGGCGAGCGUUAUCCGGAUUUACUGGGUGUAAAGGGAGCGUAGACGGCUGGUCAAGUCUGAAGUGAAAGCCCGGGGCUUAACCCCGGAACGGCUUUGGAAACUGAGCAGCUAGAGUGCUGGAGAGG
rnacentral:rRNA from 1 species